CGAAAUCACGGCCUAUCUUUCAGAAUGCUUCUCAUGUGCUCAAUAUUUUUUUGUCUUAAUCCAAUGCUCUGUGUUUUACUAUAUAUUCGAGUUUUGUUGAUGAUCGUCCUAGUAGUCUGUUGUUACUGCUGAUUUCGUUCCUUCCUGAAAUUUCACUUGUUACAAAAUAGCAAUGUAAACCUCCUGAGAUAUAACGGAGAGAUUUGUACAACCAGACAUAGAUUGAUGCAGCUGGCUAUGUGAGGCACUCUUUGCAAUUCCACAUGACACUGGUAAAUCACAAGUUUCCUCCUUCACAGUACAAUAAACAAUCAUUUCUUACUGUUGAAGGCUAUGCGGAUUCUGGAGGCAUCCCUACACCCCGCAGGAACCUGCCGCACUGCUGAAAGCUGGGAAGCACGACGAUAAAGCACCUGAUCUGCAUGCUUUCACAAAGACCCCUCAAGGAUGGUAAGGAGGUUGAAACACAUCCUUGAUAAAACAAGUGGUGCCGAUGGUGCUGAGCCCGUCGCAGUCAUGUCAGCACCAAAAGCUACACAGCAAGGCACUUCGACACUGCGGAGAUCAAAAACAUGUCAUCGAUGCUUGCGCGCAGGUUUUGAAAUGUGGUAAAUAAAGGUUAGUUGUCAAAAAUA